GCGGCGUGCUUAACACAUGCAAGUCGAACGGAAAGGCCCUGCUUUUGUGGGGUGCUCGAGUGGCGAACGGGUGAGUAACACGUGAGUAACCUGCCCUUGACUUUGGGAUAACUUCAGGAAACUGGGGCUAAUACCGGAUAGGAGCUCCUGCUGCAUGGUGGGGGUUGGAAAGUUUCGGCGGUUGGGGAUGGACUCGCGGCUUAUCAGCUUGUUGGUGGGGUAGUGGCUUACCAAGGCUUUGACGGGUAGCCGGCCUGAGAGGGUGACCGGCCACAUUGGGACUGAGAUACGGCCCAGACUCCUACGGGAGGCAGCAGUGGGGAAUAUUGCACAAUGGGCGGAAGCCUGAUGCAGCAACGCCGCGUGCGGGAUGACGGCCUUCGGGUUGUAAACCGCUUUCGCCUGUGACGAAGCGUGAGUGACGGUAAUGGGUAAAGAAGCACCGGCUAACUACGUGCCAGCAGCCGCGGUGAUACGUAGGGUGCGAGCGUUGUCCGGAUUUAUUGGGCGUAAAGGGCUCGUAGGUGGUUGAUCGCGUCGGAAGUGUAAUCUUGGGGCUUAACCCUGAGCGUGCUUUCGAUACGGGUUGACUUGAGGAAGGUAGGGGAGAAUGGAAUUCCUGGUGGAGCGGUGGAAUGCGCAGAUAUCAGGAGGAACACCAGUGGCGAAGGCGGUUCUCUGGGCCUUUCCUGACGCUGAGGAGCGAAAGCGUGGGGAGCGAACAGGCUUAGAUACCCUGGUAGUCCACGCUGUAAACGGUGGGUACUAGGUGUGGGGUCCAUUCCACGGGUUCCGUGCCGUAGCUAACGCUUUAAGUACCCCGCCUGGGGAGUACGGCCGCAAGGCUAAAACUCAAAGGAAUUGACGGGGCCCCGCACAAGCGGCGGAGCAUGCGGAUUAAUUCGAUGCAACGCGUAGAACCUUACCUGGGUUUGACAUGGAUCGGGAGUGCUCAGAGAUGGGUGUGCCUCUUUUGGGGUCGGUUCACAGGUGGUGCAUGGCUGUCGUCAGCUCGUGUCGUGAGAUGUUGGGUUAAGUCCCGCAACGAGCGCAACCCUUGUUCACUGUUGCCAGCACGUUAUGGUGGGGACUCAGUGGAGACCACCGGGGUCAACUCGGAGGAAGGUGGGGAUGACGUCAAGUCAUCAUGCCCCUUAUGUCCAGGGCUUCACGCAUGCUACAAUGGCUGGUACAGAGAGUGGCGAGCCUGUGAGGGUGAGCGAAUCUCGGAAAGCCGGUCUCAGUUCGGAUUGGGGUCUGCAACUCGACCUCAUGAAGUCGGAGUCGCUAGUAAUCGCAGAUCAGCAACGCUGCGGUGAAUACGUUCCCGGGGCUUGUACACACCGCCCGUCAAGUCAUGAAAGCUGGUAACACCCGAAGCCGGUGGCCUAACCGUUGUGGGGGAGCCGUCGAAGGUGGGACUGGUGAUUAGGACUAA
rnacentral:rRNA from 1 species